rnacentral:rRNA from 1 species
CCUACGGGGGACUGCAGUGGGGAAUAUUGGGCAAUGGAGGCAACUCUGACCCAGCAACGCCGCGUGAGUGAUGAAGGUCUUCGGAUUGUAAAACUCUUUAAGUGGGGACGAAGAAAGUGACUGUACCCACAGAAUAAGCCUCGGCUAACUACGUGCCAGCAGCCGCGGUAAUACGUAGGAGGCAAGCGUUAUCCGGAAUGACUGGGCGUAAAGGGUGCGUAGGUGGUUUGACAAGUUAGUAGCGUAAUUCCGGGGCUCAACUUCGGAACUACUACUAAAACUGUUGGGCUUGAGUGCAGGAGAGGUGAAUGGAAUUCCUAGUGUAGCGGUGGAAUGCGUAGAUAUCUGGAGGAACAUCAGUGGCGAAGGCGACUAUCUGGCACAUAACUGACGCUGAGGAGCGAAAGCGUGGGUAGCAAACAGGAUUAGAUACCCGGGUAGUC